GAUGAACGCUGGCGGCGUGCUUAACACAUGCAAGUCGAACGGUGAAGGCGGAGCUUGCUCUGCUGGAUCAGUGGCGAACGGGUGAGUAACACGUGAGCAAUCUGCCCCUGACUCUGGGAUAAGCGCUGGAAACGGCGUCUAAUACUGGAUACGAGCUGCGAAGGCAUCUUCAGCAGCUGGAAAGAAUUUCGGUCAGGGAUGAGCUCGCGGCCUAUCAGCUUGUUGGUGAGGUAAUGGCUCACCAAGGCGUCGACGGGUAGCCGGCCUGAGAGGGUGACCGGCCACACUGGGACUGAGACACGGCCCAGACUCAUACGGGAGGCAGCAGUGGGGAAUAUUGCACAAUGGGCGAAAGCCUGAUGCAGCAACGCCGCGUGAGGGACGACGGCCUUCGGGUUGUAAACCUCUGUGAGCAGGGAAGAAGCGAAAGUGACGGUACCUGCAGAAAAAGCGCCGGCUAACUACGUG
rnacentral:rRNA from 1 species